rnacentral:misc_RNA from 1 species
CAACAGGAUGCCCAUGAAUUUUUCAUCUCUAUGCUUGAUGGGAUCCAUGAAAAUGUGGAGAAGGAUCGACACAAGCCCCACAGUCAAGGCCAUGGAGACUGUUGUAUUGCACAUAGAGUUUUUUCUGGUAUCUUGCGAUCCGAUGUGAUGUGUAUGGCUUGUGGUUUCACAUCCACAACAUACGACCCAUGUGUGGACAUCUCACUGGAUUUAGAACCUCACCAAGGGGGUUCUUCAAAGUCAGUAUCUACAAAGACUCAUCAUUCUUGCAAUGGUGAGGUGGACAGCAUGAAUCCAGGCCAAAACUGUGGGAUAUCUACUCUUAUGGGGUGUUUGGACCGGUUUACUAGGCCUGAGAGAUUGGGGGCUGACCAAAAAUUCUUUUGCCAACAAUGUCAGGUGAGGCAGGAGUC